GAAUUAUUUGAAGUCCUAGAGAAUCAUGACAUGACAGAUUUUCCAAAUGUGAAGUACCACUGAAACAAGAUGUUGUUGUGAUGGCAAAGCAAAAGGAAUUGCUCAAACUAGUCACAAAACACCUGUGUCCCAAAGUGUUAGCACUUGUGGAAACCCAAAAUUUGCAGUUUGUAGUUAACAAUAGUCAUUUAAGGAAUGUGGAGUUGAUGUUGCUUUUAAUCAUGAGAUUCUGCUGUAUGCUUGGCUGGAUCAUUACUUUGUUUCACAAAUGGUUAAAAC
rnacentral:lncRNA from 1 species